rnacentral:sRNA from 12 species
GCUCUGCACUUUCCAGAUGGCGGUGCAGGCAGAUCAUCUAGAGUGGUCAGCUUGGUUGUCCUGCUUAGGCGAAUACAUUGUGGGGUCUGGCAUAACGCGGAGUAGAUGCGCACGAAACGCGGAGCCAGC